rnacentral:rRNA from 1 species
UAUUUUUAUUUUUGUUAAUAUUAGGUAUUGCAUACCGUUUUAGGAAAAUGACAAUUAUUUUGUACUAUAGAAUUAAAAGGAGGACUUUGACCAAGAUUUGAUGUUGCAUCAUUCUAAUAUAAGUUAAAGUAGUGCUGAUAAAUCGUCUUUUAAGAUAUCUGUUUCUUUAAAUUUAUUGGAAUCUUAUAAUAUUAUAACUUAAGAGUGGUUGCUUAUCCUCUGCAAUAGGGAGAAUAAUGGUGUACUAACAUUUACUCAUUUAUAAUUUUAUUAAAUUGUGAAACUAAAUUAAUUUAUUUAGUUAUUUUAUCUAAAAAUUAGUAACUAUAUCGUUUAUUAUAUAAAAGGUUAAAAUUUAUAAAGUGAAAUCAAUAUUUUCCGGGUUACUGUUUUUUAAAGACUCAGUCUAUCAUUUGAUAGAUCGCUCCUGCUCAAUGAAUUAAAUUAAAUAGCGUUCUUAUACCUGAGGAGCACAAUGUAGCGCAAUCACUUGUUUCUUAAUUGGAUUCACGUAUCAAUGGAGGUAGAAACCCGAUGCUCUGCUUUAUUUUUAGUGAACUUUAGUUGGUUUAAAAAUUAACUAGUUAAAUUUAACAAAGAUAAGCCUUCGGAAACUUUAUUAGAAAAUUUACAUUUAUCUUUUCUUAGACACCUGGGGUAGGCUUUUAUGCAAUUCAAUAAUCUUUAAUACGUUUAAAAGUUACUCCGGAGCUAACAGAAUAACGAUUCUUUCCCAGCACUUAUGGGAUAGACAAGUUUUACAUCGAUGUUGUAUCCUACGACGGCAGAAAGGAUAAGCUUUGCCAGAAGAGUUUGUUCACCUUUAGUAGUAGACGUGAUAUUAGUUUAGUUCGUCGUGAGGCAGAACGGAUUAUCUUGUAAAUUUAAUAUUUUAAAAUACCUUCAGUACGGGAGGAACUUGGU